UACAGAGGGUGCGAGCGUUAAUCGGAAUUACUGGGCGUAAAGCGUGCGUAGACGGCUAUCUAAGUCGGGUGUGAAAGCCCCGGGCUCAACCUGGGAAUUGCAUUUGUGACUGGCAGGCUAGAGUAUGGCAGAGGGGGGUAGAAUUCCACGUGUAGCAGUGAAAUGCGUAGAGAUGUGGAGGAAUACCGAUGGCGAAGGCAGCCCCCUGGGCCAAUACUGACGCUCAUGCA
rnacentral:rRNA from 1 species